rnacentral:rRNA from 1 species
GACGAACGCGGCGGCGUGCCUAAUACAUGCAAGUAGAACGCUGAAGAGAAGAGCUUGCUCUUCUUGGAUGAGUUGCGAACGGGUGAGUAACGCGUAGGUAACCUGCCUGGUAGCGGGGGAUAACUAUUGGAAACGAUAGCUAAUACCGCAUAAAAUUGAUUAUUGCAUGAUAAUUAAUUGAAAGAUGCAAUUGCAUCACUACCAGAUGGACCUGCGUUGUAUUAGCUAGUUGGUGAGGUAACGGCUCACCAAGGCGACGAUACAUAGCCGACCUGAGAGGGUGAUCGGCCACACUGGGACUGAGACACGGCCCAGACUCCUACGGGAGGCAGCAGUAGGGAAUCUUCGGCAAUGGGGGGAACCCUGACCGAGCAACGCCGCGUGAGUGAAGAAGGUUUUCGGAUCGUAAAGCUCUGUUGUAAGAGAAGAACGGGUGUGAGAGUGGAAAGUUCACACUGUGGGCGGU